rnacentral:rRNA from 1 species
GACGAACCGUGCGAACGUUGUUCGGAUUCACUGGGCUUAAAGGGCGCGUAGGCGGAUGGUCAAGUCGGGGGUGAAAUUUUUCGGCUCAACCGGAAAAGUGCCUUCGAUACUGAUCAUCUCGAGGGAGGUAGGGGCAUGUGGAACUUCCGGUGGAGCGGUGAAAUGCGUAGAUAUCGGAAGGAACGCCGGUGGCGAAAGCGACGUGCUGGACCUCUUCUGACGCUGAGGCGCGAAAGCCAGGGGAGCAAACGGGG